UGCACAGACGAUAUCUGCAUUCAGCAGUUUAUUCCUGCUGCGUGUGCAAAGGACAGUGUGAUACAAAUUCAGUAUCUAGCAUCACUGGUUUUCUUGGCUUUGUGCAUGUUAAGCCUGGUAUUUUUUUUUUUAUUGAC